ACGCUCGACACCUACGAGAGGCAGCAGUGGGGAAUAUUGCACAAUGGGGGAAACCCUGAUGCAGCGACGCCGCGUGAGUGAAGAAGUAUUUCGGUAUGUAAAGCUCUAUCAGCAGGGAAGAAAAUGACGGUACCUGACUAAGAAGCCCCGGCUAACUACGUGCCAGUAGCCGCGGUAAUCUGAGCGGCGUGGCAAGGC
rnacentral:rRNA from 1 species